ACUUGGCUUCUGGAGAAGGUGGCGCUGGUGGCGUGCUGUGAUGGGGACACAAGUUUCCUCCUGAGAACGCUCAUGUCUCAAACCCAAUACAGAGAGAAAGGUACAGAGCGCUAUGCGCCCAGAACAGGCUGAGCCACAGAGUGAAGGAGGUUUUCCAAGAGCAGAUAUUUAGUCUAAGAUUUGAAGAGUAAAUUUGUCCAGGAGAACAAGGAACAGAAGUGAGAAGGAAGAGCCCAGGCCAUUCUCCAGUGCUCUGAAGAGCAUUCAUCACAGACAAGAAUGCCCUAAGAUGAAGCUAGCAAGAUGGGAGAAAGCUGGCUCCUAUACGCAAGGGCAAGAGGGCUUGGGGAGUGUUGAGAUGGACAAGAUUCUAAACUGAUACAAUAAAUGGAGAAACCAUGAAGCUGGUGUAUGCUGUCUGUUUGGUAGUCCAGUGUUUGAGAGAUCUCAGGGAUCCAGAUUAAUGGAGACUGCUGGUCCUCCUACAGGAUUGCCCUUUUCCUCAGCUUCUUUCAGCCUUCCCUAAUUCAACAACAGGGGUCAGCUGCUUCUGUCCAUUGGUUGGGUACAAAUAUCUGCAUCUCUUUCAGCUGCUCUUUGGGUCUUUUGGAGGGCAGUCGUGAUCCCUUUUUUGUGAGAUCUCUAUAGCCUCAGUAAUAGUGUCAGGCCUUGGGACCUCCCCUUGACCUGGAUCCCACUUUGGGCCCAUCACUGGACUUUCUUUUCCUCAGGCUCCUCUCCAUUUCCAUCCCUGUAAUUCUUUCAGACAGGAAAAAUCAUGGGUCAGAGAUGUGAUUGUAGGAUAGCAACCCCAUCCCUCACUUGAUGUCCUGUCUUCCUGCUGGAGGUGGCCAAUCAAAAAAUGGGGUAUAGAACUAAACCGAGAAUUCACAAUGGAGGAAUAAAUGGCUGAGAAAUGUUCAAAGUCCUUAGUGAUCAGAGAAAUGCAAAUCAAAACGACCCUGAGAUACCACCUUACACCAAUCAUUAUGGCUAAGAUCAAAACCUCAGGUGACAACACAUGUUGGAGAGGAUGUGGAGAAAGAGGAACACUCCUCCAUUGCUGGUGGGGUUGAAAACUGUUACAAACACUCUGGGAAUCAAUCUGGCAGUUCCUCAGAAAAUUGGAAAUAGAUCUACCUGAAGACCCAGCUAUACCACUCUUGAGAAUAUACCCAAUGGCACCGUACAUGCCACAGGGACACGUCUUCCACUAUGUUCAUAGCAGCCUUAUUUGGGAUACCCAGAAUCUGGAACCAACCUAGAUGUCCCACAACAGAAGAAUGGAUACAGAAAAUGUGGUUCGUUUACACAACGGAAUACUAUUCAGUUAUUAAGAAUGAGGACAUCCUGAGUUUUGCAGGCAAAUGAACUAGAAAAUAUCAUCCUGAGUGAGGUAACUCAGACCCAAAAAGAACAUGCAUGGUAUGUACUCACUAAUAGGUGGAUAUUAGCCAAAAAACAAAUAAAAUAAAAUAAA
rnacentral:lncRNA from 1 species